GCAUAUCAAUAAGCGGAGGAAAAGAAACUAACAAGGAUUCCCCUAGUAACUGCGAGUGAAGCGGGAAAAGCUCAAAUUUAAAAUCUGGCGGCCUCUGGUCGUCCGAGUUGUAAUUUAGAGAAGCGUCUUCCGCGCUGGACCGUGCACAAGUCUCCUGGAAUGGAGCGUCAUAGAGGGUGAGAAUCCCGUCUUUGGCACGGAUGCACCAGGGCUUUCGUGAUGCGCUCUCGAAGAGUCGAGUUGUUUGGGAAUGCAGCUCAAAAUGGGUGGUGAACUCCAUCUAAAGCUAAAUAUUGGCGAGAGACCGAUAGCGAACAAGUACCGUGAGGGAAAGAUGAAAAGCACUUUGGAAAGAGAGUGAAACAGUACGUGAAAUUGUUGAAAGGGAAACGCUUGAAGUCAGUCGCGUCGACCGAGACUCAGCCUUGCCUCGGCUCGGUGUACUUCUCGGCCGACGGGUCAGCAUCAAUUUUGCCCCUCGGAUAAUGGCGAGAGAAAGGUGGCACCCUCACGGGUGUGUUAUAGUCUCCCGUCGGAUGCGAGGGUCGGGAUUGAGGAACUCGGCACGUACCGUGCUUAGGAUGUUGGCAUAAUGGCUUUAAACGACCCGUCUUGAAACACGGACCAAGGAGUCUAACAUGCCCGCGAGUGUUCGGGUGGAAAACCCGUGCGCGUAAUGAAAGUAAAAGUUGGGACCCCUGUCGUGGGGGGCACCGACGCCCGGACCAGACCUUCUGUGACGGAUCUGCGGUAGAGCGUGCAUGUUGGGACCCGAAAGAUGGUGAACUAUGCCUGAAUAGGGUGAAGCCAGAGGAAACUCUGGUGGAGGCUCGUAGCGAUUCUGACGUGCAAAUCGAUCGUCAAAUUUGGGUAUAGGGGCGAAAGACUAAUCGAACCAUCUAGUAGCUGGUUCCUGC
rnacentral:rRNA from 1 species